UAUAAAAGUCUAACUUGAAUCUCUACUCUCGUAGUUAAACCAUAUCAGCCUUAAACUUUCUAGCCCGCAUCCUUGAAACUAAUCAUUUGAUCAGUACAAAUUACAAAGACUAGCUUAAAAAUUUCAGAAUUAUCCUGAUCUCAGAUAAAUUAGGUCAUGUACUCGAUCAAGAACCCAUAGUGUUACCAAACCAUCCUACUGC
rnacentral:lncRNA from 1 species